rnacentral:rRNA from 1 species
UACGAAGGGGGCUAGCGUUGCUCGGAAUCACUGGGCGUAAAGGGUGCGUAGGCGGGUCUUUAAGUCAGGGGGGAAAUCCUGGAGCUCAACUCCAGAACUGCCUUUGAUACUGAGGAUCUUGAGUUCGGGAGAGGUGAGUGGAACUGCGAGUGUAGAGGUGAAAUGCGUAGAUAUCAUUUGGAACGCCAACGGCGAAAGCAGGCAGCUGGGGAUGCACCGACGCUGAGACACGAAAGCCAGGGGAGCGAACGGG